rnacentral:rRNA from 1 species
CAACUUUCAGCAACGGGAUCUCUUGGCUCUCGCAUCGAUGAAGAACGCAGCGAAAUGCGAUAAGUAAUGUGAAUUGCAGAAUUCAGUGAAUCAUCGAAUCUUUGAACGCACCUUGCGCUCCUUGGUAUUCCGAGGAGCAUGCCUGUUUGAGUGUCAU